rnacentral:rRNA from 1 species
GCAUGCAAGUCGAACGAGUAAAGUUCCCUUCGGGGAGCGAGUACAGUGGCGAACGGGUGAGUAACGGGUGGAAAACCUGCCCUUCAAUGGGGGAUAACAGUUCUAACGAGCUGCUAAUACCGCAUACGACCUUUGGUCCGCAUGUUCCGAAGGUGAAAGGUGGCCUCUCUUUGAAGCUGCCGUUGAAGGAUGGUUCCGCCUCCCGUUAGCUUGUUGGUGGGGUAAUGGCCUACCAAGGCGACGAUGGGUAGCCGGCCUGAGAGGGUGU